rnacentral:lncRNA from 1 species
GUUGAAGAUAUCAAAAGAGUUUUUUGUGGCUGAGUUGUUGAUUUGAUUUUUCUUAGAAGUCAUCCUGGCUGUUAUGUCCUCUCUCCCUGCUUUCCAGUCAGGUAAUAAUUGCAUUCCACCUUCUACACAGGGUUUCCAUUUCAUGUCAAAAUGGUGCACAUUAGAAUAAAAACCCUGGGAGAAGGGAGAAAGAUGUAAGCUACAAACACUGAAGGUGAUGCUGUCACAGAGUUGGGCCCAAUAUCCACUUCAGCCCUAACCUAAAACCACCAAGAGUUAAAACUUGGGAAGAGUCAGGCCAUCAACACCAAAGGGAGCUGUGCUUUCCAGGAGUGCCUACACCACUCAAAGCCAGGACUUUGCUUCAAAUCUCAUCCCUCACUUCUGGGAUAAAAAGGGGGCUGCUCCAAGGCCACGGAUCAAGGACUGAGCAAGUCCAGGUCACAGUUUUGAAUGUUCCUGCUCAGGACAUGCUAAAGAUUCCAGUUGUCCCUGGACUCACUAAGAAUGUAAGAGGGAAACACAGUGAUGAGGGGAUAUAAACCCAAGGGCCAGGACAUAAAGCAGAGGAUAUGAUAUGUAUGUACUCAAAAUGGUUUAUGUAUGUUUGCUUUGAUCUUUAAAUGUAAACCUAAUGCUUAUCACAA